CCCUACGGGACGCAGCAGUGAGGAAUAUUGGUCAAUGGGCGCAAGCCUGAACCAGCCAUCCCGCGUGCAGGAAGAAGGCGCUAUGCGUUGUAAACUGCUUUUCCAGGGGAAGAAAACCCGCUACGUGUAGCGGUUUGCCGGUACCUUGGGAAUAAGCAUCGGCUAACUCCGUGCCAGCAGCCGCGGUAAUACGGAGGAUGCGAGCGUUAUCCGGAUUUAUUGGGUUUAAAGGGUGCGUAGGCGGAUUGCUAAGUCAGUGGUGAAAACCUGCAGCUUAACUGUAGAAUUGCCGUUGAUACUGGUAGUCUUGAGUACGGUCAAGGUAGGCGGAAUGUGUAAUGUAGCGGUGAAAUGCUUAGAUAUUACACAGAACACCGAUUGCGAAGGCAGCUUACUGGGCCAUUACUGACGCUGAGGCACGAAAGCGUGGGGAGCGAACAGGAUUAGAUACCCCUGUAGUCCU
rnacentral:rRNA from 1 species